GUUGCCAAUGGGGAAGGGGAGGGAAUGGGAUGGAUUGGGAGCUUGGGUUUAAUAGAUGCAGACUAUUGCCUUUGGAAUGGAUAAGCAAUGAGAUCUUGCUGUGUAGCACUGGGAACUACACUUAUGAUGGAGCAUGAUAAUGUGAGAAAAAAGAAUCUAUAUAUGUAUGUGUAACUGGGUCACCAUGCUGUACAGUAGAAAAUUGGCAGAACACUGUAAACCAACUACAAUGGGUAAAAAAAAUCAUUAUAUUAAAAAUAAUUAUACAAUUUAUAACUUUAUACAUUUUAUGAAAUAAACUUUAAAAAUAUUAAAUAAAAACGUGGGCAUAUUUUUCCUACAUUCUUUAUUUGCACUGCCAUGCAGUAAUAAUGAAUUGCUUAUCUGAUGUAAUAGUUACUUAACAAUUCAUUUCCAAAGAUAGCUGUUAGAGGUCAUUUUGUAGAUAAGUAAGAAUAUCUAUCUUGUAUUUUACUGUGCUAAUUUAUACUAAAAGCAACUUAAAAUGUUUCAGGCAACUCAAAUCAGUUUUCCUAUACAUUUUAAUUUUUAUCCCUAGAUAAAGCUAUUCAAGGACAUUGCCACAUUAUGUAUUUUAUCUGUUUUCACCAUAGCAUAUAUAGGUCUAGGCCAAACAAUAAUUACUUAUUUAUGUACAGUGUAUAAUUAAAAUGUGUAUAUAAACAUUAUUAAUUAAUUAAUUCAAUAAAUUAUGACUAAUAAUUCAAUAAAUUCUGAGACUAACAAGGCCCCAUAGACAUACGUUCUCUGCUAUUUACCUAACAAGUACUCACUAAAUAUUUGUUGUGUGAGAGAAGAAGGGAAAAUUAUUUAAUAUGCGUCCACAUUUAGAAGAGUGGAAGGCACACCUUAGGCAAUUUAGGAUUAUUAACUCUUUUUAUCGAUAAUUAAAGUGACUUCCUUGAUGUCACACAGUGAAUUCAGUACUAUGAAUAACGGUAGUGGGUACUUAUGUGCCAUACACACGCACUUGUGAAAUCAGGGUCCUUUUUUUUUCCCUAUGGACUUCUUGACUGUGAGGUCAUGCUCUAUGAAUUCAGAGUCCUAGGGGAAGGGUACUGAAGCCUUCUGAGAUCUUUCAUUCAUAGACUUAAUAGGCUACACUCUUUGACUAGUAGUUCCAGGCUAGGGGUCGAAUCAGAGCUGUAGCUACCAGCCUAUGCCACAGCCACAGCAAUGCAGGAUCUGAGCCACAUCUGCGACCUAUACUACAGCUCACGGCAAUGCCAGAUCCUUAACCCAGUGAGCAAGGCCAGGGAUUGAACCUGCAUCCUCAUGAAUGCUAGUCAGAUUCAUUAACCACUGAGCCAUGGCGGAAACUCCCAGACACUUUCUAUUAUGCUACACCUGCUUUGCAUUUUGUGUUGAUUGAUGUUGAUCAGAUUUUUAGUGAUUGGAAAGUUUACAGUCGAAAAAUACUGAGAACAAUAGUAAUUUAUUUUAACUGGUGAAGCAAUUCUGAAAGUGAUAUAUAUAUAUAUAUUUGGCUGCAUGCUUGGCACGUGGAAGUUCCCAAGCCAGGGAUCGAACUCAUGCUGCAGUUGCGACCUGAGCCACAGCUGCAGCAGCAUCACAUCCUUAACCCACUAUGCCAUAUGGGAAUUUCCUAAGAUUUUUUUUUCUUAAGCAUCGUAUCUUGCAAUAUAUUUGGUGUAAUAAAUUAAACUAGAUGUCAACUGUGAACCAUAACCUUUUAAUAAUUAUUUCCUUUGUCAUGAGGGACAGAAAAAAAUGUACUCUUUAAAUCAAGAGAAUAAUUAUUUUUCUUGACAAGACUUCACUGGGCUUGAUUGAGAUUUUAGAAUGCGUAUAUAUGAGUUGACAGUUUGCAUUUGCUGUGUUUUCCCCUAGGUGAUAUCUAAAAGCGUUCAUAAGUUUUAUCUUUAAUGAGAACAGAGCCCAUUAACCCUAAAAAUGCUCUUUUUUGCUCAAAGGAAUUUUCCAGCUGGAAAACUAAUAUAAAAAUAUGUCUCAUCAUGAAAUGAAAACUCAGUUUUUAAAUAAGGCAUGUGGUUCUUUAAUUUGAGACAAAAUAACAUAGCCAGUAAAAUAGUAAAAUUCUGCAUCCCUAUUCCUGGUUAAAAAUUGCAUUUGCCUUGGCCUUAUAAAGAGGGAGGAAAUGGCUCAAUUUAUUUUAUUUUAUUUUAUUUUAUUUUGUUUUAUUUUUGGCUUCUUUUUUAGGGCCUUACCCACAGCAUAUGGAAGUUCCCAGGCUAGAGGUCUAAUCAGAGCUGCAGCUGCGGGCCUACGCCACAGCCACAGCCACAGCGAUGUCAGAUCCAAGCACGUCUGUGACCUACACCACAGCUCACAACAAUGCCGGAUCCUUAACCCAAGAGUGAGGCCAGGGAUUGAACCCACACACUUAGGGUUCCUAGCCACAUUCGUUUCUGCUACACCACUAUAGGAACUCCUGACUCAAAUUAUUUUUUGUAUUACAUUUACAUAAGAUAAUAUUUCUCAGACUUUCAAACUUAGGAGCUGUGCAAAAUGCUCAGAGAAUUAAUUUCACUGAAGGCUAUGUACUUAGGAAGCAAGGCAGUUCUCUUUUUAAAAAUGUGAUAAACUAUUGCAGAAAAUAUGGGCAAGGAAGCCUUCACUCCUCAUCUUCAGACAACAUAGUCAGGGCAUAUUGAUGAAUGCAAAGCACAGCACAGCACUAAUCUUCAGCACCUCUUUUCCCAGAAGCCUUAAUAUUGCUUCUAAUGGGGAAGAAGUCCUCUGUGAGCAUUAAAGGUAUCAAAGAGUCACAUUGGUGCAAAUUGGAAGACAAGGAAAAUCUUAGAGUAAAUAUCAAAAAGAAAAAAAAAA
rnacentral:lncRNA from 1 species